rnacentral:rRNA from 1 species
UGUUUCGGCAAGGGGGUCAUCCCGACUUACCAACCCGAUGCAAACUGCGAAUACCGGAGAAUGUUAUCACGGGAGACACACGGCGGGUGCUAACGUCCGUCGUGAAGAGGGAAACAACCCAGACCGCCAGCUAAGGUCCCAAAGUCAUGGUUAAGUGGGAAACGAUGUGGGAAGGCCCAGACAGCCAGGAUGUUGGCUUAGAAGCAGCCAUCAUUUAAAGAAAGCGUAAUAGCUCACUGGUCGAGUCGGCCUGCGCGGAAGAUGUAACGGGGCUAAACCAUGCACCGAAGCUGCGGCAGCGACGCUGAUGCGUUGUUGGGUAGGGGAGCGUUCUGUAAGCCUGCGAAGGUGUGCUGUGAGGCAUGCUGGAGGUAUCAGAAGUGCGAAUGCUGACAUAAGUAACGAUAAAGCGGGUGAAAAGCCCGCUCGCCGGAAGACCAAGGGUUCCUGUCCAACGUUAAUCGGGGCAGGGUGAGUCGACCCCUAAGGCGAGGCCGAAAGGCGUAGUCGAUGGGAAACAGGUUAAUAUUCCUGUACUUGGUGUUACUGCGAAGGGGGGACGGAGAAGGCUAUGUUGGCCGGGCGACGGUUGUCCCGGUUUAAGCGUGUAGGCUGGUUUUCCAGGCAAAUCCGGAAAAUCAAGGCUGAGGCGUGAUGACGAGGCACUACGGUGCUGAAGCAACAAAUGCCCUGCUUCCAGGAAAAGCCUCUAAGCAUCAGGUAACAUCAAAUCGUACCCCAAACCGACACAGGUGGUCAGGUAGAGAAUACCAAGGCGCUUGAGAGAACUCGGGUGAAGGAACUAGGCAAAAUGGUGCCGUAACUUCGGGAGAAGGCACGCUGAUAUGUAGGUGAGGUCCCUCGCGG